rnacentral:rRNA from 1 species
GACGAACGCUGGCGGCGUGCUUAACACAUGCAAGUCGAACGGUAAGGCCCUUCGGGGUACACGAGUGGCGAACGGGUGAGUAACACGUGGGUGAUCUGCCCUGCACUUCGGGAUAAGCCUGGGAAACUGGGUCUAAUACCGGAUAGGACCACUGCCUGCAUGGGUGGUGGUGGAAGGCUUUUGCGGUGUGGGAUGGGCCCGCGGCCUAUCAGCUUGUUGGUGGGGGGAGGGCCUACCAAGGCGACGACGGGUAGCCGGCCUGAGAGGGUGACCGGCCACACUGGGACUGAGAUACGGCCCGGACUCCUACGGGGGGCAGCAGUGGGGAAUAUUGCACAAUGGGCGCAAGCCUGAUGCAGCGACGCCGCGUGAGGGAUGACGGCCUUCGGGUUGUAAACCUCUUUCAGCACCGACGAAGCGCAAGUGACGGUAGGUGCAGAAGAAGGACCGGCCAACUACGUGCCAGCCGCCGCGGUAA